GCCUCUGUGGUGUAGUGGUUAGAGCACGCGUCCCCGGAUAGGAUAAAAUGCGGGUUCGAUUCCCAACUGAGGCC